UGCAGUCGAGGGGUAUAGUUCUUCGGGACUAGAGACCGGCGCACGGGUGCGUAACGCGUAUGCAAUCUACCUUUUACAGAGGGAUAGCCCAGAGAAAUUUGGAUUAAUACCUCAUAGUAUAUAGCCCUGGCAUCAGGAUUAUAUUAAAGUCACAACGGUAAAAGAUGAGCAUGCGUCCCAUUAGCUAGUUGGUAAGGUAACGGCUUACCAAGGCUACGAUGGGUAGGGGUCCUGAGAGGGAGAUCCCCCACACUGGUACUGAGACACGGACCAGACUCCUACGGGAGGCAGCAGUGAGGAAUAUUGGACAAUGGGCGCAAGCCUGAUCCAGCCAUGCCGCGUGCAGGAUGACGGUCCUAUGGAUUGUAAACUGCUUUUAUACGAGAAGAAACACUCCUUCGUGAAGGAGCUUGACGGUAUCGUAAGAAUAAGGAUCGGCUAACUCCGUGCCAGCAGCCGCGGUAAUACGGAGGAUCCAAGCGUUAUCCGGAAUCAUUGGGUUUAAAGGGUCCGUAGGCGGUUUAAUAAGUCAGUGGUGAAAGCCCAUCGCUCAACGGUGGAACGGCCAUUGAUACUGUUAGACUUGAAUUAUUAGGAAGUAACUAGAAUAUGUAGUGUAGCGGUGAAAU
rnacentral:rRNA from 1 species